UACGUAGGGUGCGAGCGUUGUCCGGAAUUAUUGGGCGUAAAGGGCUCGUAGGCGGUCUGUCACGUCGGGAGUGAAAACUCAGGGCUUAACCCUGAGCCUGCUUCCGAUACGGGCAGACUAGAGGUAUGCAGGGGAGAAUGGAAUUCCUGGUGUAGCGGUGAAAUGCGCAGAUAUCAGGAGGAACACCGGUGGCGAAGGCGGGUCUCUGGGCAACAACUGACGCUGAGGAGCGAAAGCGUGGGGAGCGAACAGG
rnacentral:rRNA from 1 species